UACGUAGGGUGCGAGCGUUAAUCGGAAUUACUGGGCGUAAAGCGUGCGCAGGCGGUUCGUUGUGUCGGCGGUGAAAGCCCCCGGGCUUAACCUGGGAAUGGCCGUCGAAACUGGCGAACUGGAGUGUGGCAGAGGGGGGUGGAAUUCCGCGUGUAGCAGUGAAAUGCGUAGAGAUGCGGAGGAACACCGAUGGCGAAGGCAGCCCCCUGGGCUGACACUGACGCUCAGGCACGAAAGCGUGGGGAGCAAACAGG
rnacentral:rRNA from 1 species